ensembl:lncRNA
GUUGGUGGAAAGUUUGCUUCAUUUCAGAUGCUGGAAACUUCGGGGGGGCAGGGGGAGGACAGGGAGGACAUCUGUCCAAAGCCUGACUCCCCCCACCACUCCCCGCUGAAGGAGGAAACAGAUCAGACUCCAUCUUGAAAGCAGGACUCCAUCUUGGGCCGGACUAUGGACUUUGAGCUAUAUGCCCAGUAUCUAUGGAAACAGCAUACCAAAUGGAAAACCAGACCCCAGGAUGGAAGAGCCCUAGUGCUCGUACCUAGCCUCUCCUCGCCUAAAAGAAUACCCUAAUUAUCUGUGUAACCGAAUAGAAUCAUAAAUUCUAUUAUGCUUAUUGUGGUAUGACCAUACGCCUAUUGAUAAUUGUCCACUAUUAACUACCUAGGCUUAGGGCUUACGAAUCACAGGUUAACUUUGAUUGUAUCUUUCUUUUCUUUUGUUCAGACUAGUUUCAGGGAAUUUGGGGAGGCGGGUUUGAGCGCGUACACUUAGGGUUUAUAAGGUUUUCACAAAAACUGGUCGGGGUCCUUGGCUAAGAGGAGACUCUGCCUUGGGCCCGCCGGUGUAAUACACUGCACUCCACUAUCUGCAUUGUCCUUCUGAGUGAGUUUGUUUCCCGCAACGCGUGGCUACAACACUGCCACUGGCAACCAGUGGGGCGAGAGCUUUUCUAGACAGAAGUAGGGGUGACUACAGGCAGAAACAGCACAGUCAGCCCCGACAGUCAUCUUCAGAUUGGUCAUGAGUGGUCUGACCAGUGUCAUCUUGAUUUUUUUAGGUACAGUUAGUCUUCAGUUCCCGGAGAAGGCGAUGGCACCCCACUCCAGUACUCUUGCCUGGAAAAUCCCAUGGACGGAGGAGCCUGGUGGGCUGCAGUCCACGGGGUCGCGAAGAGUCGGACACGACUGAGCGACUUCCCUUUCACUUUUCACUUUCAUGCAUUGGAGAAGGAAAUGGCAACCCACUCCAGUGUUCUUGCCUGGAGAAUCCCAGGGACGGGGGAGCCUGGUGGGCUGCCAUCUAUGGGGUCCCACAGAGUCGGACACGACUGAAGCGACUUAGCAGCAGCAGCAGCAGUCUUCAGUUCCAGGGUCUGUUUGUUCCCAUUUCUUUGUGGCCAGUUCUCAGAAUUGCAGCAGCUCAUGUUGUGGGUAAAGUCUGGUCAUCAUAGAGUUAACUUCUCCACCUGGGGUUUCAUUUAUAAGACAGCUCACCGGAUGUAGCUCAGAAUAUUAGCUACAGCCCUUGAGGAAGAACUAAAGGUCCUUGACUGCUUAAUGACUACAUUAUUAUUAUUUAGUCUCCUUUGACGGUUUUCCUUUGUUUCCGCAUUUCUCACUUCUCCGAUUAAACUUACUCUUUGACUAAAGUUUUCCACAGACAGAAGGCAGGCAAAGUACGCGUUGGGGGCUGGGGGGAGGGGGCAAGGACCGUAAGGUGCUGCUCCGUUUCAGUUCCAGGUAUGAGCCUGUCGUGAUUCUGAGAGCUGAAGGAGCAGGAGGGAUCAACUGCCCAGCAUCUCUCACAGUAUUCCUAGGAUCCUCUCGGGCAGGAUAGCUCAGAACCAAACCCCAGUCCUUGCUCAGCCCACAGGAGGCAGAGUCCCGCCCCCACCCCCCAGGCCUGAACUGUCUCCUGUCCGCCUUCAGGGCUUGCUCAGAUCAGAAGCACCCCCUUCUCCCAGCUGGGGGCUCAGACUCAUCGCCCUUAACCCGGGCUCUACGCAGUUCAGUCACUCAGUCGUGUCCAACUCUUUGUGACCCCGUGGACUGCAGCACGCCGGGCUUCCCUCUCCAUCACCAACUCCCAGAGCUUGCUCAAAGCCAUGUCCAUCGAGUUGGUGAUACCAUCCAACCAUCUCAUCCUCUGUCGUCCACUUCUCCUUCUGCCCUCAGUCUUUCCCAGCAUC